UGGGGAAUAUUGCACAAUGGGCGCAAGCCUGAUGCAGCCAUGUCGCGUGUAUGAAGAAGGCCUUCGGGUUGUAAAGUACUUUCAGCGGGGAGGAAGGUGUUGAGGUUAAUAACCUCAGCAAUUGACGUUACCCGCAGAAGAAGCACCGGCUAACUCCGUGCCAGCAGCCGCGGUAAUACGGAGGGUGCAAGCGUUAAUCGGAAUUACUGGGCGUAAAGCGCACGCAGGCGGUCUGUCAAGUCGGAUGUGAAAUCCCCGGGCUCAACCUGGGAACUGCAUUCGAAACUGGCAGGCUAGAGUCUUGUAGAGGGGGGUAGAAUUCCAGGUGUAGCGGUGAAAUGCGUAGAGAUCUGGAGGAAUACCGGUGGCGAAGGCGGCCCCCUGGACAAAGACUGACGCUCAGGUGCGAAAGCGUGGGGAGCAAACA
rnacentral:rRNA from 1 species